CAUGCAGUCGACGAUGAUCCGGUGCUUGCACCGGGGAUUAGUGGCGAACGGGUGAGUAACACGUGAGUAACCUGCCCUUAACUCUGGGAUAAGCCUGGGAAACUGGGUCUAAUACCGGAUAUGACUCCUCAUCGCAUGGUGGGGGGUGGAAAGCUUUUUGUGGUUUUGGAUGGACUCGCGGCCUAUCAGCUUGUUGGUGAGGUAAUGGCUUACCAAGGCGACGACGGGUAGCCGGCCUGAGAGGGUGACCGGCCACACUGGGACUGAGACACGGCCCAGACUCCUACGGGAGGCAGCAGUGGGGAAUAUUGCACAAUGGGCGCAAGCCUGAUGCAGCGACGCCGCGUGAGGGAUGACGGCCUUCGGGUUGUAAACCUCUUUCAGUAGGGAAGAAGCGAAAGUGACGGUACCUGCAGAAGAAGCGCCGGCUAACUACGUGCCAGCAGCCGCGGUAAUACGUAGGGCGCAAGCGUUAUCCGGAAUUAUUGGGCGUAAAGAGCUCGUAGGCGGUUUGUCGCGUCUGCCGUGAAAGUCCGGGGCUCAACUCCGGAUCUGCGGUGGGUACGGGCAGACUAGAGUGAUGUAGGGGAGACUGGAAUUCCUGGUGUAGCGGUGAAAUGCGCAGAUAUCAGGAGGAACACCGAUGGCGAAGGCAGGUCUCUGGGCAUUAACUGACGCUGAGGAGCGAAAGCAUGGGGAGCGAACAGGA
rnacentral:rRNA from 1 species